rnacentral:rRNA from 1 species
AGCUAAUAGAUACCCGGGUAGUCCACGCCCUAAACGAUGUCUACUAGUUGUUGGUGGAGUAAAAUCCAUGAGUAAACGCAGCUAAACGCGUGAAGUAGACCGCCUGGGGAGUACGGUCGCAAGAUUAAAAACUCAAAGGAAUUGACGGGGGCCCGCACAAGCGGUGGAUUAUGUGGAUUAAAUUCGAUGCAACGCGAAAAACCUUACCUGGCCUUGACAUGCCACUAACGAAGCAGAGAUGCAUUAGGUGCCCGUAAGGGAAAGUGGACACAGGUGCUGCAUGGCUGUCGUCAGCUCGUGUCGUGAGAUGUUGGGUUAAGUCCCGCAACGAGCGCAACCCUUGCCAUUAAUUGCCAUCAUUUAGUUGGGCACUUUAAUGGGACUGCCGGUGACAAACCGGAGGAAGGUGGGGAUGACGUCAAGUCCUCAUGGCCCUUAUGGCCAGGGCUUCACACGUAAUACAAUGGUCGGUACAGAGAGUUGCCAACCCGCGAGGGGAGCUAAAUCUCAGAAAGCCGAUCGUAGUCCGGAUUGUUCUCUGC